rnacentral:rRNA from 1 species
UGGGGAAUAUUGCACAAUGGGCGCAAGCCUGAUGCAGCCAUGCCGCGUGUAUGAAGAAGGCCUUCGGGUUGUAAAGUACUUUCAGCGGGGAGGAAGGGAGUAAAGUUAAUACCUUUGCUCAUUGACGUUACCCGCAGAAGAAGCACCGGCUAACUCCGUGCCAGCAGCCGCGGUAGUACGGAGGGUGCAAGCGUUAAUCGGAAUUACUGGGCGUAAAGCGCACGCAGGCGGUUUGUUAAGUCAGAUGUGAAAUCCCCGGGCUCAACCUGGGAACUGCAUCUGAUACUGGCAAGCUUGAGGCUCGUAGAGGGGGGUAGAAUUCCAGGUGUAGCGGUGAAAUGCGUAGAGAUCUGGAGGAAUACCGGUGGCGAAGGCGGCCCCCUGGACGAAGACUGACGCUCAGGUGCGAAAGCGUGGGGAGCAAACAGG